rnacentral:rRNA from 1 species
GAUGAACGCUAGCUACAGGCUUAACACAUGCAAGUCGAGGGACCGGCGCACGGGUGAGUAACACGUAUCCUACCUGCACUUUACUCGGGGAUUGCCUUUCCCAAGACAGAUUAAUACCCGAUUUACUGGAUGGGGAUGCGUUCCUUUAGGUUGUUGGUGAGGUAACGGCCCACCAAGCCUUCGAUGGAUAGGGGUUCGGAGAGGAAGGUCCCCCACAUUGGAACUGAGGCCCGGACCAAAAUCGUAGGGGAGGAAGGAGUAAGGAAUAGUAGUGAAGGGGCGUUAGCCUUAACAAGCCAAGUAGCGUGAAGGAUGAAGGCGUAUGAGUCGUCAACUUCUUUUAUAGAAGAAUAGGUAUUAAAUGAGUAAGGAUCGGCUAACUCCGUGCCAGCCGCCGCGGUAAUAC